UUGACUCGUCGCUACAGGACACGCUGGCGGCGUGCCUAAUACAUGCAAGUCGAGCGGACCUUUAGAAGCUUGCUUCUGAAGGUUAGCGGCGGACGGGUGAGUAACACGUGGGCAACCUGCCCUAUAGUUGGGGAUAACUCCGGGAAACCGGGGCUAAUACCGAAUAAUUCAUUUCAUCACAUGUUGAAAUGAUGAAAGAUGGUUCUGCUAUCGCUAUAGGAUGGGCCCGCGGCGCAUUAGCUAGUUGGUGAGGUAACGGCUCACCAAGGCGACGAUGCGUAGCCGACCUGAGAGGGUGAUCGGCCACACUGGGACUGAGACACGGCCCAGACUCCUACGGGAGGCAGCAGUAGGGAAUCUUCCACAAUGGACGAAAGUCUGAUGGAGCAACGCCGCGUGAGUGAAGAAGGUUUUCGGAUCGUAAAACUCUGUUGUAAGGGAAGAACAAGUACAGUAGUAACUGGCUGUACCUUGACGGUACCUUAUUAGAAAGCCACGGCUAACUACGUG
rnacentral:rRNA from 1 species